CCUUUGCCACCAUUCCACCUCAAACACACCUGAUCUCAUCUGAUUUCAGAACCCAAGCAAGAUCAAGCCCAGUUAGUCCUGUAAGGAGAACCCAUAAAAGAAUGCCAGUGGACUUCAGGAAGGAAAUAAUUCUCCUCACGAUCAAAGUUGGCAAUACAGGACAAAAUGCAGAUACUUAGCCAGGCUGAGAGGGUAGCCACAAUCCAAAAGCCACAAACCAGUUACUUAUGGAGGACCAAACCAUACGCAGCAUCACGUCAAGCCAGUUCUUUGGAUCCAACCCAAUGAGAAGCUCUUUGGCAAUAAUCAUGGUCUUUGAUAUCCCUUGCUGAGCAGCAGUGCUGCUAGAAAUAAUGGGCAAUCCUAUGAGAGCAAUACUCCCCACUGCUUGUUUUAUGG